AAGUCGUAACAAGGUUUCCGUAGGUGAACCUGCGGAAGGAUCAUUAAUUAAAUUUACACCAUUUUUUUGUUUUCUUUUGAAUUCAGAAGGAAAUUAAAAAAAAUUGGUUAACCACUUUGUGAAAAAACAUGUUGAAAGAUCUAAUCUUUCAAUUUAAAUACUUAAAAAUCUGUAUAUUAUAAACUAAAAAAACAACUUUUGACAACGGAUCUCUUGGCUCUC
rnacentral:misc_RNA from 1 species